AACGAACGCUGGCGGCGUGCUUAACACAUGCAAGUCGAACGCGAACGGGACUUCGGUUCCCUAGUAGAGUGGCGCACGGGUGAGUAACGCGGUAGAUAACCCUGUCUUCAUAUCCGGAAUAACACGCCGAAAGGGGUACUAAUACCGGAUGUUCUUGCAUUUCACAGGUAAGGCAAGGAAAGGUGGCCUCUGAUUCAAGCUACUGUAUGAAGAGGGGUCUGCGUACCAUUAGCUAGUAGGUGGGGUAAUGGCCUACCUAGGCGACGAUGGUUAGCGGGUCUGAGAGGAUGAUCCCGCCCAC
rnacentral:rRNA from 1 species